UGGGGAAUAUUGGACAAUGGGCGCAAGCCUGAUCCAGCCAUGCCGCGUGUGUGAAGAAGGCCUUUUGGUUGUAAAGCACUUUAAGCGAGGAGGAGGCUACUUGGAUUAAUACUCUAGGAUAGUGGACGUUACUCGCAGAAUAAGCACCGGCUAACUCUGUGCCAGCAGCCGCGGUAAUACAGAGGGUGCGAGCGUUAAUCGGAUUUACUAGGCGUAAAGCGUGCGUAGGCGGCUUCUUAAGUCGGAUGUGAAAUCCCUGAGCUUAACUUAGGAAUUGCAUUCGAUACUGGGAAGCUAGAGUAUGGGAGAGGAUGGUAGAAUUCCAGGUGUAGCGGUGAAAUGCGUAGAGAUCUGGAGGAAUACCGAUGGCGAAGGCAGCCAUCUGGCCUAAUACUGACGCUGAGGUACGAAAGCAUGGGGAGCAAACAGG
rnacentral:rRNA from 1 species